GUUUAAUUCCCGUCAAUAUGUAGGUGUAGCAAACUCCAUACCGAAAAGAAGCUGCUAUUAUAUAUAUAAUCGGAUUGGAAGUCCCUCUUAGGAUGAUCACGGGCGCUGUUUAUUGAAGACAAAUGAAAUUUUGUUCCUAAAUCUGCAAGUAGAUGCUAUAAAAAAUAUGGUACGCAAACCACGACUCUUCAAAAGGGGCUUUACCCCUUCUUUACCUCUCUUUUGUCCUUGAACAGGAAUAAGUAAUAAGCAGUAAUGAUGCGCUGCGUAUAUCCACUGCGAAAUGUGACAGAAAAAUGAAAGGAGUGAUCAGUUUAUUAUUUAUUUAUUUAUAAACGACAGU